rnacentral:rRNA from 1 species
GCAAGCGUUACUCGGAAUCACUGGGCGUAAAGGACGCGUAGGCGGAUUAUCAAGUCUCUUGUGAAAUCUAACGGCUUAACCGUUAAACUGCUUGGGAAACUGAUAAUCUAGAGUAAGGGAGAGGCAGAUGGAAUUCUUGGUGUAGGGGUAAAAUCCGUAGAUAUCAAGAAGAAUACCUAUUGCGAAGGCGAUCUGCUGGAACUUAACUGACGCUAAUGCGUGAAAGCGUGGGGAGCAAACAGGAUUAGAUACCCUGGUAGUCCACSCCCUAAACGAUGUAUACCGGUUGUUGCUGUGCUAGUCACGGCAGUAAUCCACCUAACGGAUUAAGUAUACCGCCUGGGGAGUACGGUCGCAAGAUUA